GUGUCAGCAGCCGCGGUAAUACGUAGGUGGCAAGCGUUGUCCGGAAUUAUUGGGCGUAAAGCGCGCGCAGGCGGUCCUUUAAGUCUGAUGUGAAAUCUCGCGGCUCAACCGCGAGCGGUCAUUGGAAACUGGGGGACUUGAGUGCAGAAGAGGAAAGCGGAAUUCCACGUGUAGCGGUGAAAUGCGUAGAGAUGUGGAGGAACACCAGUGGCGAAGGCGGCUUUCUGGUCUGUAACUGACGCUGAGGCGCGAAAGCGUGGGGAGCAAACAGGAUUAGAAACCCCCGUAGUCC
rnacentral:rRNA from 1 species